rnacentral:lncRNA from 1 species
GGGGAGAAAGAAGAGAGGGGGGGAGGGGGGAACCAAAAAAGGACAACGAAAAAAGCUCAGGGCCCCCCCAGGGCCCUACUGCCCCACUUCGCUUGGAAUUCGGCGCGUUCCACCCCUACGGUUGCUUGAGAUUUUUCGGACAAUUCGCCACUCCACCAACGGGCUCGCGGGGUUUUUGAAAUUAUUUUCGAGGUUUUUUACCUCUUUUUUUCCCCUACUUAUUCCUCUUUCCCAUUUUUUCCUGUUUUUCCCCGUUUUUUUCCCCAUUUUUCCCCAUUUUUUUCCCAUUUUUUUCCUUUUUCCCCCAUUUUUUUCCCCAUUUUUCCUUUUCUCCAUUUUUUUGCUAUUUUUCCCCAUUUUUUCCUUUUCUUUCCCGAUUUUAUCCCUUUUCCCCAUUUUUUCCCAUUGUUCCCUUUUUUCCCCAUUUCCCCCCCUUUUUUCCUCUUCCCGUUUUUCAUUUUUUUCCAUUUUUGCCCAUUCUUUUCGCAUUUUCCCCAUUUUUCCCUCUUUUAUCCCCAUUUUUUCCUUUUCUUACGCAUUUUUGUCCUUUUUCCCCAUUUUUUCCCGUUUUCCCCCUUUUUCUUCUUCCCCCCACUUUUCCCCCUUUUUUCCUCUUCCCGUUUUCCCUUUUUUUCCAUUUUCUCCCCAUUCUUUCCUUUUUCCCCAUUUGUUUCCCAUUUUUCCCUGUUUUAUCCCCAUUUUUUCCUUUUCUUACCCAUUUUUGUCCUUUUCCCACAUUUUUUCCUGUUUUCCACCUUUUUCCUUUUCCUCCCAUUUCCCCCCGUUUUUUCCUCUUCCCAUUUUUCCUUUUUUUCCAUUUUUGCCAAUUUUUUCCUUUUGUUAUCCAAUUUUAUCCUUUUUCUCCAUUUUUCCCUUUUUCUUCCCAUUUUUCCUUUUUUUCCUAUUUUUGCCCAUUCUUUCCAUUUUCCCCCAUUUUUUCCCCAUUUUCCCCAUUUUAUCCCCAUUUUUUCCUUUUCUUAUCGAUUUUUGUCCUUUUCCCACAUUUUCUUCCCAUUUUUCCUUGUUAUUUCCCUUUUUUCCUCUUCCCAUUUUUCCUUUUCUUUCAAUUUUUUCCCAUUCUUUCCUUUUUUCCUCGUUUUUUUCCCAAUUUUUCCCAUUUGUUCCCUUUUUCCUGGUUUUCCCAUUCCCUUUUC